AAGAAGCAAGAGAGCGANCUGGAGCAAACUCUAAAAACAAUCUCAGUUCAGAUUGCAGGCUGCAACUCGCCUGCAUGAAGUCGGAAUUGCUAGUAAUCGUAGGUCAGCAUACUACGGUGAAUACGUUCCCGGGCCUUGUACACACCGCCCGUCAAACCAUGAGAGUUGGCAACACCCGAAGUCGGUAGUCUAACCGCAAGGAGGACGCCGCCGAAGGUGGGGUUGAUGAUUAGGGUUAAGUCGUAACAAGGUACC
rnacentral:rRNA from 1 species